GUCUGAGCGACCUGCUGAUUGUGCACGCGUACUCUAAGGAGGACACCCCCAAGACCGCUGUCCCGCCGAUCAUCUUCAAGGAAGACCUGGUGGAGGCAUGCGAGGCGUUUCUGGGAGAGCUACGCUCGCGACAGCGGGUGGCCUUGGCGUUGCCUCUGUUCGGCUACGCCUAUCGGCUACGAAACAGCGCGCGUUACGAGUUACGCUCCGCCGUCAGGGGUCCCGCGCCACCGGGACCGUACACCGACGAGCGUGGGUUACUCGCCUAUUUCGAGAUCUGCCUGGAGUUCAGCUCCGACCUGUGGGUUUCCCUGUACGACAAGGAGGCCGACUGCAAGAUCGCCGUCAACAGGGACAAGGGACAGUGGAUCGGAUACGACAACAAGGCCACCAUUCUCAACA
rnacentral:lncRNA from 1 species